AUGAAGGCCGUAUUGGGCAUGCCGUAUGCUUAUUCAGCUAUGAGAGCAGCUGAUGUAAGGGACAGAAGCAGAAAGGGCUCAGUUGGGAAGGAGUUAGGACAGAAUGUCUGAGGCAACGGCGUGGGCCAGAGAACGAGAAGGAGGAGACCAUCCAUGAGACAGGCUUUUUGUCUAGGUACUUCAUCCUCUUGUGUAAUGACCAUUAGCUGUUCACAUAUCUUCUCAGGUCCCUGGAGGAGGGAGGUUGUGGGUUCCUUAGAGCUCAGUGACUGCUCCUGGCAUCCGGCUAGGUGUGUUGUCUCGCUGCCUUCCCUGUUUUGAGGCAAAUACUCCAAUGCUGGGUUAAGAAAGGACAACGAGGACUAGAUGGCCCAGAAAGCUUGGAUUCUGGCUGCAUGUCACAACCCUCUUCUCUCUCAGACCUUUGAGCUGUGCCCUCAUUCCAUGAGAUGAGAAACACCCACCCAGAACAAGAAUAGGAAGUACUGUGGAGGAGGGGGAGGAAAGGUCAGAGGAUCCAGAGGGGUUGGGUCACCAAGAGAACAUGGCCCACAGAAUCAAUUGACCGGGUCUCAAGGGGCUUACUUAACAGAGACCAGGGAGCCUAUAGGGGUCUGACCUAGGUCCCCUGCAUAUAUGUUAUGGCUGAGUAGCUUGGUAUUCUUGUGUAAUUCCUAACAGUGGGAUCAGGGGCAGUUUCUGACUCUUUUGCCUGCUUAUAGGACCCUUUUCCUCCUCCUGGGUGGCCUCGCCCAGCCUUGAUGUGAUGGUGUGUGCCUGAUCUUAUUGUAGCUUCUUGGGUUGAGUUUGAUUGAUGUCAGAGGGAGGGGGGCUUCUCUUUUCUGAGAGUUCAUGGAAGGGGCAUGGAUCUGAGGGAGGGGAGGCUGGGGGAAGGGGAAGGAGUGGAAACUUCAAUCAGGUUGUAAUAUACAAAAGAAUAAAAAAAAGACAUAGAAUAACAGAUACGAUGUAACUAAUAUUCCAAACUUGCAAACUUCCCUAAGUGUCUAGGCAGUAAUCCAUCAGCAAUCUGGAAGUCAGAAAUCUUGGAUAGUCAGGCUCUUUAGCCCACAUUAGUGACUGCUGUUACUGUUUUCUGAAGGCCUGGCAGGUCCUUCUGACAGGUGUGAUCCUGAGUUAGAAUGUCCAGUUCAGUCAAAAGUCCUACUGAAACAGCACUCUAGUCUCACACCCUACCCGGGGCUCCAUGUGAGCCACCGAGGUGCUCUGUUCCCAAGUGCCCAGCCUGGACUCAUUUCCAGGCUCUUAGGAGGGAAAGAGACAUCGUGGACAAAAGCCAAGCCAGUCAACGACUAGACCCUAUGGUGGGUUCUAGGAUCCAUUCCUGAGUCUUGGUGUAAGACCCCCGGAAAGCUCAGGCCUCCCGGAUCUCAGCCCAGGACCUCGGCCACCCCAAUCACCAGGUGGAUUCGAAAGCUUGAUGCAAACUGCAUGAGGCUUUAUUGUUGUUUAAUGAGCUAACCCCAUGUUAGCUCUUUCACCCACCCACCAUGGUGGAUGGCUAGAAAAGACAGCUCGAACCAGCUGCAUAGAGAUCUUAUAGGGCAGCGUAAGGGGAGUGUCUAGGGGUACACACAGGCUCAGGAUUGGUGUGCCUCCAGGCUUGGAGGACUUGCCCUGUGUUGAUUGGCCAACUGGUUGUUAUGGCCCAUAGGCCCUCCCAGGGUGGUUGCUAUGCUCUGUGCGUCAUUGCUGUGCACUUGGCCGUAAAGCACACCCAGAGCCAUAAAGCAUGGCACCACCAGCUAACUUCUGAUUGGUUCCUUGCCACGAGGCAGGCAUCUGACUUCUUAGUGACUAAGGCAAGGUCAGACAAGCACGUGUUCAGCUGUUAAGGCUGCCGAAAUGGGGAGCUGGCCCCUUCAUUGGAAUUCAGCAGCUGAGAAGUUGUGAUUUCUCUGGAGGAGUCACUCUGCCUGGCCCUUUCGUAUUUCUUGUGUUUCUGUGUUGCGAUUUGCACUCUGUUGGUUUCUGUCUGUCUUAUGGUUCCAUUUGAGGAUAUUCUUACACAACGACGACUCCAAAGCCUCAGUUCCCAGUACAGGAAUCACAGAAGCAACUGCAUCGAGAGCCACGCAAAGUUCACUAGAGCCACUAACGUGUCGUCAAUGAGCGCGAACCUGAAGAUGGAAAGCCUACCGUAGAAUGCGCUUUGCCCCACAAAUUAUUCAGGAGCCCUCAUCCAGUGGCUGAUGGAAGCAGAGACAGACAUCCACAGAUAUACAAUGAGCCGAAAUCGGGAAUUUAGUUGAAGAGAGGGAGGAAUGAAGAGCGAAGGGGUCUGUACCAGGUUGGAGAAAUCCACAGGAACAAUUGGCCUGAACAAGGGAGAGCACAUCGACCCCAGAUGCUGUCAGGGAGGCCAGUACAAGACUGAUCCAGACCCCUGAACAUGGAUGUCAAUAAGGAGGACUCUGCACUCCAGGGAGCCUCUGGUGGUGGAUUAGUAUUUUUCCCUGGUGCAAGAAGGGACUUUGAGAGCCCAUCCCACGUGAAGGGAUACACUCUGGCCCUGGACACAUGGGGAAGGGCCCAGGACCAGCAUAGGAAGACUUGGUGGACUUUGCAGAGCCCCAGUUGAGGGCCCUACCCUGCCUGGGGAG
rnacentral:lncRNA from 1 species